CGGGGUGGAGUAACGCGUGGGUAACCUGCCUCAUACAGGGGGAUAACAGUUAGAAAUGGCUGCUAAUACCGCAUAAGACCACAGUACUGCAUGGUACAGUGGUAAAAACUCCGGUGGUAUGAGAUGGACCCGCGUCUGAUUAGGUAGUUGGUGAGGUAACGGCCUACCAAGCCGACGAUCAGUAGCCGACCUGAGAGGGUGACCGGCCACAUUGGGACUGAGACACGGCCCAG
rnacentral:rRNA from 1 species